rnacentral:rRNA from 1 species
GAUGCAUCAUUCAAAUAUCUGCCCUAUCAACUUUCGAUGGUAGGAUAGAGGCCUACAUGGUUUCAACGGGUAACGGGGAAUAAGGGUUCGAUUCCGGAGAGGGAGCCUGAGAAACGGUACCACAUCCAAGGAAGGCAGCAGGCGCGCAAUUACCCAAUCCCGACACGGGGAGGUAGUGACACAUAAAUAACAAUAUAGGGCUCUUUUGGGUCUUCAUAAUUGGGAAUGAGUCACAAUUUACAUCUCUUAACGAGGAACACUUGGAGGGCAAGUCUGGUGCCAGCAGCCGCGGUAAUUCCAGCUCCAAUAGCGUAUAUUAAAGUUGUUGCAGUUAAAAAGCUCGUAGUUGAACUUCAGAUCUGGUUGAGUGGUCCGCCUAACGGUGUGUUAACUGCUUGACUGGGUCUUGUCUCUUGGUGAACCGUUGUGUUCUUUAUUGGAUGCUUCGGGGAACCAGGACUUUUACCUUGAGAAAAUUAGAGUGUUCAAAGCAGGCCUAUGCCCGAA